rnacentral:rRNA from 1 species
UGUAUUUAUUAGAUAAAAAACCAAUGCCCUUCGGGGCUUUUUGGUGAUUCAUGAUAACUUUACGGAUCGCAUAGCCUUGCGCUGGCGACGGUUCAUUCAAAUUUCUGCCCUAUCAACUUUCGAUGGUAAGGUAUUGGCUUACCAUGGUUUCAACGGGUAACGGGGAAUUAGGGUUCGAUUCCGGAGAGGGAGCCUGAGAAACGGCUACCACAUCCAAGGAAGGCAGCAGGCGCGCAAAUUACCCAAUCCCGACACGGGGAGGUAGUGACAAUAAAUACUGAUACAGGGCUCUUUUGGGUCUUGUAAUUGGAAUGAGUACAAUUUAAACCUCUUAACGAGGAACAAUUGGAGGGCAAGUCUGGUGCCAGCAGCCGCGGUAAUUCCAGCUCCAAUAGCGUAUAUUAAAGUUGUUGCAGUUAAAAAGCUCGUAGUUGAAACUUGGGCCUGGCUGGCAGGUCCGCCUCACCGCGUGUACUUGUCCGGCCGGGCCUUUCCUUCUGGAGAACCUCAUGCCCUUCACUGGGUGUGCUGGGGAACCAGG